rnacentral:sRNA from 1 species
UUUUUUCCUUUUUUUUUGGUUUA